AGCGAACGCUGGCGGCAGGCCUAACACAUGCAAGUCGAGCGCCGUAGCAAUACGGAGCGGCAGACGGGAGAGCAACACGUGGGAACGUACCCUUCGGUUCGGAACAACCCAGGGAAACUUGGGCUAAUACCGGAUAAGCCCUCACGGGGAAAGAUUCAUCGCCGAAGGAUCGGCCCUAGUCUGAUUAGCUAGUUGGUGGGGUAAUGGCCCACCAAGGCGACGAUCAGUAGCUGGUCUGAGAGGAGGAUCAGCCUCACUGGGACUGAGACACGGCCCAGACUCCUACGGGAGGCAGCAGUGGGGAAUAUUGGACAAUGGGCGCAAGCCUGAUCCAGCCAUGCCGCGUGGGUGAUGAAGGCCCUAGGGUUGUAAAGCCCUUUCGGCGGGGAAGAUAAUGACGGUACCCGCAGAAGAAGCCCCGGCUAACUUCGUGCCAGCAGCCGCCGCAGUAA
rnacentral:rRNA from 1 species